GAUGAACGCUGGCGGCGUGCUUAACACAUGCAAGUCGAACGAAGCAUUUAGGACAGAUUACUUCGGUUUGAAGUUCUUUAUGACUGAGUGGCGGACGGGUGAGUAACGCGUGGGUAACCUGCCUUGUACUGGGGGAUAGCAGCUGGAAACGGCUGGUAAUACCGCAUAAGCGCACAAUGUUGCAUGACAUGGUGUGAAAAACUCCGGUGGUAUAAGAUGGACCCGCGUCUGAUUAGCUAGUUGGUGAGAUAACAGCCCACCAAGGCGACGAUCAGUAGCCGACCUGAGAGGGUGACCGGCCACAUUGGGACUGAGACACGGCCCAGACUCCUACGGGAGGCAGCAGUGGGGAAUAUUGCACAAUGGAGGAAACUCUGAUGCAGCGACGCCGCGUGAGUGAAGAAGUAAUUCGUUAUGUAAAGCUCUAUCGGCAGGGAAGAUAGUGACGGUACCUGACUAAGAAGCUCCGGCUAAAUACGUG
rnacentral:rRNA from 1 species